AGUUAGGAAGCUAUGAAUCCUCCUUCCACACUCGGGGAUGGCCAGUGACACUAAUUUUACACACUUUUCUUGCAAAAGACGCAGCUCCAAAUGGUUGGUUUAGUCAUAUUUGAAUACUGACUUGUUGAACGGUUGUUGGAUGGUUACUGCAACUCACUACCAACUAGCCAAACCAAAAUCACCGUCAAUUGCACCAAUUGUUUUCAUUCUACAAUGCGUAACACUAUCACCGCUUCUUCUAAACGCUCUUCAAUCUUCGCAUUCCACAGCGACACUUCAUCACUCUCUUCAUUCUUGUUCCUUCUCUCACCGUCGCCAUGUUGCGCUCUCUCUGGCGAUCCAUCGAUCGCUUCUCCGUUCAACACUUCCAAUACGUAAUCAAUGAACUGCGGAAGAUCAAAGUUGUGGAUGAACAUAACAGGGAACUUGUGAUGAAUUUGUUGCAAUCUGUUGUGGAGAUUGUUACUUAUGGCGAUAGACAAGAUCCGCACAUUUUUGAGUGUUUCAUGGAACGGCAAGUGCUGGCAGACUUUGUUCGCAUACUUAAGAUCAGUCAAGAGUCGAAAAUUGACGGACCUCUGCUUCAAUAUUUGAGCAUAAUGAUUCAAAACAUGGAUAGUGAACAUGCAAUUUUUUAUUGCUUCAGCAAUGGUUAUAUGAACAACAUUAUUUUGCAUCCCUACAAAUUUGAUGGGGGAGAUCUAGCUCCAUACUAUGUUUCUUUCCUAAGGGCAAUUAGCAAUAAAAUAAACAAAGACACACUUUGCCUUCUUGUGAAUGUUCAGGGGGAUGCUGUAGUCUCCUUUCCCUUGUACACUGAAGCUCUAAGAUUUGCUCAGCAUGAGGAAAAGAUGAUUCAGACAGCUAUACGUGCAUUAGUUCUGAACAUCUACAAUGUUAGUGAUGACAUGGUCUAUCAAUUUAUAUCAACUCCUCCAGUUUCAGAAUAUUUCUCUGACCUGGUUCGUAGAUUAAGCAAUCUAUGCUUUUGCUUAGAUGAUUUUGUCUAUGAUAAAGGGAAAAUGGACGCUCAAAAACGAAGAGAUGGGGUUAUUCUUGAAGCUGACAAAAUUGCAGAUGAACUGCACUACUUUAAAGACAUUCUUAGUGUUGGCGAACCUCGUUUGACUAGACUGGUUACGGAAAAUCUUCUGAAUGGGCUUGUGUUUCCUCUACUAUUCUCAUUUAUGGCUUCAAAGAAUAAAAAUGGAUCUGAUUUGUCUGCUAUCACUUCGCUAUAUAUCAUAUCCUGCCUUCUUCAGGUUGUUGGCGGAAGAAGCAUGAUUAACAAUGUGGCUGGUGUUAUCUUGUAUCAUAUUUUGAACUUAAAUGUGAGAAUUCCAAGUGAAGGGAAUGCUUCUGAUGUCCAUGAUGAUGUUAAAACUUUUUCAAAGUGCUUGAAUGAAGUGGAAAGAGUUAUAUGUUAUGAUCCUGAGUCAAAUGGAUCUGAGAGUAUCAAUGUAACCUAUUUAGGUGCUCAUUGGGAAGGUUUCAUGUCUAGUUUCAAUAUUAAUAGCUCAAACAGUGAAAUUUGUUCCAAAAGGAGUGGAAUCUUUGCUUUUGUUUUCUGUGAGGAUCAAAGCCUAUUGUUAGCUUCAAUAUUUCUCUUGCUUAUUCUGACUGAAAGUAAAGAUCUUGAUUGUCUCCUAUCUUCAAUGAGUGGGCUAAGCGAGAAGGAGGAUGAGAUGUUGCAGACUGAUGAUACAUCAAUAUCUAAGUCUGUGGAUGAAAGUAUCUUCAUUAGAUUUAUGCCUGAGAUUUUAAAUGCCCUGCUGAAUGUUUUAGCCUUCCAGCAACCCCUUUCUAUAAUGAUGCUAUGGAAUGCGGGGUGGUGCUUGCAAAAGCUACUCAACUUCCAUAGAGAGGGACUUAAUGGUGAUAAUCUUCUCUUAUUCACUCAGACUUCAUAUGAUCAGUCCCGUGUAAACUUUCUGAAUGAACUUGGUGGAGUUUGGUUUGAUCAUAUUCCAGAUACUCUAAUAACAGAAUCGGCAAGCUGUGUUAGAGUUCUUGAACAAUCUUCCCAAUAUAAAGAUCCAUUAUUUAUGUUGGAGCUUGCUCUUCACCACCAACCCACCAAUGGUCAAACAUCUUCAUAUUUUGCUUGGCAAAGGAUGGUUGAUGCAGUAAAGGAAUAACGAAAAUUGUGCUCCACUGGGGACCUAUUGUCCUUGGUGGACCUUUCUACUUUGCCCGUCUUCCAGCAACCUUUUUCUCCUUUCCCAGCAACUUUUCCAGUCACCACUAGCCGUCGUCACUUUUCCGGUGACCCACUGUUCCGAGGGCCCUUUCUUCUUCUCCGAUGAUCUUUUUUGAAUGACGACUUUUCCAGUCACUGCCGUUGUCCGUUGCCAUCCGGCACCAUUUUGACUGGUGACCCCAUGGUUUGGGUCACCCAUUGCCAAUCUAUUCAACGCCAUCCACCGCACCUCCAUAAGAAAAUCAAUGCACCCCCACAUGCCAAUUCUUUGCGCAACACGUCCAGCCAAGCAGGUUCUGUUUUUGGCGCGUGACGGCACGUUGGAAAUCUGUUUAGGCUGUGCUUCUGGCGACAAGGUUGCCCCCCUGGACGACCCUAACCUAGUAGUUUCAUGCCAAUCAGAGCAUUUUUCUCAUGGAUAACUUCUUUUCCUUUUUUUUUUGUAGCCCUUCUUUGCGAUGAACAGUACCCCACACGGCUACUUUGCCCUUGUUUGGCAAACUUCCAGAUGCCUUUUUGUCGGAGCUUACCUUUGACCAUUGUCACCCAUCGUCGAUGUCCGUCAUGUCGUCCACGUGCGCAACCAACUCAAAACACCGCCACACGCAACCCUAUGCAAGGCCUUGGCACGUGAAGUUCACGCACACGACGUGAGAUGCAUUUCCGGCCAACGUCACACUGGUCUUCUCUCCCUCUACCUCGAGGCAUCCUUGGUGGACCUUUCUGCUUUUUCACAGGUGAGUAGUGCCCAUCGUCAUUGUCGAAGACCACCACGCUGUUCAUAUGCACAACCAACUCAAAACACCGCCGUAUGUGAUCCCUCUCAGGGCCCGAACUCGUGAAGUUAAUGCACACGUCGCGUGACGCAUCUCCGGUGAGCGUCACAUUAGUCUCCAUCGUCAUUGUGGGUCUUCAUUGGCUGCCGCCAAGCCAUGUUUAUCCGGCACAACCACUCGACUAGAACCGGCUUUAGUUUCUAUCGGGGUGACCACAUUUAUAACAAGCUCGGUUCAUUUAACAUAUACGCUCAAGCUUGAGGAGAGUGUUAGAUUUAUAUAUUAUUCUCUUAUUUAUGAAUAUAUAGCAAUUAGUGAUUUAGUCCUUAUUACUCAUUAUGAAAUUGAUCCUAUGUAAUCAAUAUUGAUCCUAUUUGCUCAUUAUAAAUAAAGGCUUAGUGUGAUCACCACAACACACAACACUAUAGUAAAACACUGUUAUAUGCUCAAUGCCAUAAUUUUUGUCAAUGAUAUAUAGUAAUAGUUGAUUAGUUAAGACAAAAGAGUAAAAUCUAAACUCGAGUUGUGGAGAAGCUUGAAAUUUGUCAUGUCUAAGGAUAUGAAAUGCAAGUUCAACAAGACAUGAGUUGGGUACGAUUUAGAGGUGAAAAAUUGGGGAUUACGUCAUUGCACAAGUAACAUUGUUUAUGCAUCUUUGGAUCUAUAUUACAACAUCACAGGGAUGUCAUACAUAGGAUUUGAGUGAUAAUCUAUAACUGGAUGAAGUGAAUAAAUGCUUCACAUGCAAUUUUACAUAAUAUAGGAAGGUAGGUGUAACUUUCCAAAUUGAAAGGCUGUUAGACAUAAUCAAUGCUGACCUGGGGGAAGUUAGUUUAAUUAUCCAAUAAACACAUUGAAAUUUUGUUUUGUAGAUCUGAAGGAUAAGUUUGAUCAAUAUUGCUAACCAAACUAAGCGAGAUAAGGCUCAGUUAUUGUUAUCAAAGAUUAAUGCUUGCGCUUCUGACCAUCAAAUGGAGUGCAAUAUGACAAUAUUGUAAAAUUGGGGCAUCUUUUGGUAAAUUCUAAGAAUUGUAUAAUGACAUAUUCAUCACACCCUUGUGGCUUUAAAGUUGACUUGAUAAACUUCAUAUCACCUUAUUUUCUUGUGUUCUGCUUUAAUUUCUGCUGAACUUUAAUAUUAUUUCUGGUAUUUGGCUCCUGCAUUCUACUGCUUUUCUUGUUUUAUUAAAAAUUAUCUUUACUGCAGAAGUUUCUUGCUGGUUUGGUGGGUGUUUUAUCAAUUUAUGAGUUCUUGUUUAAUCAAAACAUUGUAUUGUUCCAUGAUUUUAGUUGCUGCUGUUAAUUAUUUAUCUUUCAUUCUUUAAUACUCCUCAAGCAUACUUUUAAUACCAGUUGUUUAUUCAGGCUUUUAUUCUCCACUUCCAGUUGAAGACAUUUAUUUUGAAAGGUGUGUUGGUUGACAAGCCAUUAUUGAACAUGAUUUCCAGUUCUACCAAUGAUUCUAGAGUAAUCCGUGCAUCAGAUGUUUCAUCUGCUAGCUUUGGGUCAAAUGUUUCAUUGGAGUCUGGAAUACCAUGUGGAAUUGCGUUUUCAAAUUCUGAAAUUAGGGAUAUAUAUGUAAUACCAGUGGCAAGUGGAAUAAUUGGAAAAUUGCUUCUGGCGGAGAAGCACCCAUUCCGCAGUCGACA